GGAGAGAUGUCCGAGCUGGUUGAAGGGGCUCGCCUGGAAAGCGAGUAUAUGGGAAACCGUAUCGAGGGUUCGAAUCCCUCUCUCUCCGCCA
rnacentral:tRNA from 1 species